CGGCCCACCCAGUCCGCGAGAACCGGGCAGAUCGCCUCGACGGUACGGAGGCCGGCCGACGGGUCCGCCAAACGACGAGAUCACGCCUCCAGCACGGACUGCCGAUAUUGGAGCCCCCGCGCUCCGGCUGCACUUGCGCUAGGGCGCGCCGCCUCGUAGGAGACUGUGAGGUGCUGUGGCAGGUCCAACCAGAGACGUCAACGUGUGUUCCAGAGCUUCAGUGUGUUACAGAUAAGUGGUUUUGGCUUCCCCUUUAUGUUCCAUUCAGGGUCAGAAUGUAGUCUUAUAAAACAAAGUCAUAGUAAUUUAUUCAAUGGUAAGCGGUUUCAUGAACAAGUCACUCUUUGAUCUGAAAGUAACUUAGACCAAUCAUGAUGGCAAGAGCACUUAGGGGAUAUUCAACUCGCCCUUAAUAGUGCACGUUGUCGAGUAACAGGGUUUACUCCAAUAGAAUAGACGUUUGCCGUUCAGGGUAGUUCACUUGAAAUAUCUAAAGUUUCAACAGAGUGAUAAUCCCUCUAGAUUAGAUCUUGAUUUAGCACGGUCGAAGACCGGCGAAAACAUAAAAAAAGGGCACAAACAGAAGCUUGGUUUAGUCGAGGCAAAGCUAAAGUCAAACUCUUUUCCGCUGGGGAUUUUGUUUUCGUAAGUUGACCGAAAAUGUAAAGGUCCCUUCAACAUUACUGCAGUUUUGGAAAACGAUAGGUAUAAAUUGAGACAUGUAAAUAGUUCUAAUAGAGUGUACAAAUUUCCCCAUGAAAACUUACGUGAAAUACCUCGAGGCCCGUCAGGCCUACUAGAAAUUUCUGAAAAUUAUAGUGACGAUGACGUGACGGCGUACACAGAUGGGUUAAUUAAUCUUGUUCAUGAAACUGAUCUUAAUGAUGACGACUCUAUCACUGACAAUAGAAGCGACAUUUUUGUCCGCAAAUAGCGAUACAGCAAACAUAGUCUGUGGGUAGUGAUACAAUGUCUGUAAGCUCAGGCACCUCAGGUGCAGGUGUUGGAAAUGUAGAAAACGAUGGUCGGUCUCGCACUAUUUCUGAAGAAAUUCCGUAUAAAUGUUCUGGUUUAAGAAAUGUUUUAACAAACGCUACCGUACACGCAGAUUAAAAAAAAAAAAAAAAAAGAAAAAAAAAGAGAAUUGUAUGUGGCUAGAGAGAUGUUAAUCCGGACUAGCAAAAAAAAAAGAGAAAAAAAAAAGAAAGUGUGAAGUCAUUGAAGGGUCUGUCCGGUCCAAUGGCUUGGCUAUAGGGAUUUUCAUCCAGAUUAGCCACAACAAUUAGCUACAGGGAUUGCGAUUCGGUCUAGCAUUAUCCGGUCCAGUUCGAAAAACUGAAGGGAUAACAA